CUAAGUUCAGCGGGUAUUCCUACCUGAUUCGAGGUCAACCACUAUAAAAGUAAGGGGUUUUCCGGCCGGGCAACGUCCCACACCCAGAACGAGGUAUAACUACUGCGUUCGGUUUUGGGGCGCCGCCGCUUGCUUUGGGAGGCUGCGGUGCAGUCCUCCAACGCCAGGCAGGGCCUGAGGGUUGCAAUGACGCUCGAACA
rnacentral:misc_RNA from 1 species